rnacentral:rRNA from 1 species
UACGGGGGGGGUAAGCGUUGUUCGGAAUUACUGGGCGUAAAGGGCUCGUAGGCGGCCAACUAAGUCAGACGUGAAAUCCCUCAGCUUAACUGGGGAACUGCGUCUGAUACUGGAUGGCUUGGAUUCGGGAGAGGAAUGCGGAAUUCCAGGUGUAGCGGUGAAAUGCGUAGAUAUCAGGAGGAACACCGGUGGCGAAGGCGGCUUGCUGGGCCAGUUCUGACGCUGAGGAGCGAAAGCGUGGGGAGCGAACAGG